GAAAAAAUCGGUAGAGCAGAUCCUUGGAAAAAUGGCUUCUUCCAAAUUGGUCAGUAAAAUCGUUGCUGGUGAACUGUAUAGGAUCUAGCGAGUGUCGCGCCAAAAACUCCUUGGAAUAUGGUAGGAGACAUGAAAAAACUUAUAUAGCGACAGGUUUCUAUAUGACAGACUAUUAUAAAGAGAUUUUUCCACAUAUUAAAAGCGCAUAUAAGGUCAAUUUCUGAAGAAAAGCUUAAAUUGAGCCGACAAUUUUUUAUAAUAAGCCGCCGCCGACGAUCAUUUUGCAUCGGCUUGUAUCUCUGCAGCUGUUAUGGUUUGUUUUAUUUUUCGUCGGGUUCAAAGUAUAUAAAUACAGUAGCAUCACUAGAACAGCUGACUAUUUUUUUUAAAGCUCGAUAAUGAAUGCAAGUUGUCAAACUGUAUUUUGACAAUUUGUAAUUUAAGCAAGUUGUCAAAGUAUAUUUUGACAACUUUCAAAAUUGUUUAUGGAGCCAUUUUUAAUUGGUUUUUAUUUGCUAAAAGUUGAAAAAAUAAUGAAAAGUGGAAAAAAUAAUUUUUAAUUGUUAAAGUGCUAAAAAAUAAAUAAUAGAGAAAUAAAAGAAAAAAGUGAAAAAUAAAAUUAGCAGCAUAUUUUUAAUAUAUAUUUAAAAGAAUAAAUAAAAAAACAAGCUGUAAACAAUGAGACGCUGCUGCCUUUGCAAAAAAAAAGACAAUCUAUCAAAAGGAAGUUUUUUCUCCAUUCCAAAAGAUGAACGGAGGAGGAAGAAGUGGAGCGAAGCUUGCCAGAAAGAAUUCGGGAAAACUGAAAAAAAUUUGCAUGGAUCAUUUUCAUUCAUCCUCGUUCAUUAAAAUUGGUGCGAAAACCGAAUUAGUGUAUAAUGCUGUUCCUUCGAUUUGCCUUUUCAUAAAUGAGACACCAAGGUUGCAUCAUUUUAAUUCCGAAAAUAUACCUUCGGAAUUUUCAACAGCAGCAGUUGAACAAAAUUGCACGGAAAUCCGGCAAAACUAUUCUAACAAAGGCUCUACUGGUGUUCUGUUGCCGGUUGAAAAUUUACAAGCUCCAUUGGAGGUGGGACAUAUGUUUUCCAAUUCUGAAUGCACAGAAGAUCUGUUUCCUUCGGAAUUUUCAACUCCAGCUAUAGAAUUUGGUCAACAUUGCACGGAAAUCCGGCAAAUAUGUUCCAACGACACUGCUGUUGAUCUGUUACCGGCUGAAAUUAUACCAGCUCCAUUACAGUUGGGACAAAUGUUUCCCAACUCUGAUACAAGUGCAGAUCUGUUUCGCACCGAGUAUGUGUUUUCAUCGACUCCAGUAAAAAUUAUCCAAAAAAUUAUCCAAAAAAUUAUCAGUUUUUGGUUAUAUCGCGUUUCAUUGGGACAUUUGCACGAGCUUUAUAUUGUUGUAGUUUGGUUAAGCAGCCUCAUAUGUAUGUAUGCGUUCCCACGACAAUUGGAUCUCCGCUCCGGAACGACCCGAUUCUCAAUCGGCCAAUUAUUAUCAACUCAGCAAUAACUGUAUCAACCGGAAUUUUUUCCCAAGAAGGACGUCCAGUCAUAGCCAAUCUGUUACAACAACAACAGCAUAUAUAUGUCAGUGGCAGCAGCAAGUCAUGAUAUUUUUUCCGGUUUUAUUCUUCAACAUCUCUUGACCCGAAAGUUGUGAAAAUUCUCCCAGUACAUAAGUUUCAUCAUCCAUCACACAACAAGUUUAUUUUUUAUAAAAUACCUUAAUUUUCACUCUUUUUUUUCUUUUAAGCCCUUUACCGAAUUGAUCUGGAACUUUCCGAACUUUAUACGACUUCAACUUUGCGCACACAAGAAUCAGAGCAUUUAACUUUACGAGAUGCUUUUCUGACAGAAAUGUUCGGUAUAAGUAUCUGUUACACUUCAUCCAGAUUUUCUUUCAAUUCUCAAGACAAUAAGACAAUUUUUUGUCUAAAAAAGUGUGUACAGGUUUUUUCUGACACAGUAGUAGUGGUGGAGCAACAUCAGUUACAAAAGCUGGUAUUUUUAAUGACACAACACAUUGUGGCCCGAUGUCUCAAAUAUGGGCAAAUCUUGUGAAUCUUCCUCAAAUACUAAAUCAUCAGAAGUUACAACUCGCAUGUUUGGGAAAUCAGUUACAUAUGUAUAUAAAGAAUAUUUUGUUGCUGAAAAAGAAGGAUCCUGGUAGUGUUACUAAAAUAGCUAAUCGUUUGGAUCACCAAUACAAUUAUUGAUCUGGAAAAGGAUAUAACAAUUAUACCGACACCAGUCUUCUCUGUAACGCGUAAAAGAGAGAAACACAUCAAAAUGGAACAGAAGUGACCAUUGUACCGGCUGGACCAACUACUAAGAGACCCAACAAAGAUCAUAUGCCGUCACAUUGUCAUAAAACCAGUUAAUGAAUACGUUAUUCUCUUAACAUAUAAUUGAUGUUUAUUGUAAUAAAUAUUUGUCAGGUAUAGAUUUCCUAUUAGACAAACAUUAUUCCCUUACUAGAGUUUUUAUUUAAAUACAGCACUUUUGUUCGUCCUGUCUAUUAGAUGUAUUAAAAAUAUUUGUAAUGUAAACGUGAGAAUAAUUUUGUUUCCAAUUUUUUCCAUAACCGAUGUAAAAAAUUAAAAAAAAAAUAAUUUUUUUCUUAUUUGAUUUAACAAAAUCAUGUCAAUUAAAGACUAUACUACUUCAAGCCCCCACAGUAAUCAAUCGAAUUCGUUUAUUUUUAUUUUUUUUUUAUUUUAUUUGAUAUUUUUUUUAAUAAAUUGAUAUAUAUGAAAUUACAUACAUAUGUAUUUAUAUAACAAAAUAAUAAAUUUUUAUAAAGGAAAGAAAAUAAAUUUAUAUCUGUAAUUCAAACCAGACAUUUUGUUCAAGAGAAAAUACAUUUUUUAUAUUAUAUUAUUAUAUAAUAAAUAAAAUAAAACAGAAU